CAGUCGCCACGGUAAUACAGAGGGUGCGAGCGUUAAUCGGAUUUACUGGGCGUAAAGCGUGCGUAGGCGGCUUCUUAAGUCGGAUGUGAAAUCCCUGAGCUUAACUUAGGAAUUGCAUUCGAUACUGGGAAGCUAGAGUAUGGGAGAGGAUGGUAGAAUUCCAGGUGUAGCGGUGAAAUGCGUAGAGAUCUGGAGGAAUACCGAUGGCGAAGGCAGCCAUCUGGCCUAAUACUGACGCUGAGGUACGAAAGCAUGGGGAGCAAACAGGAUUAGAUACCCCGGUAGUCCCUGUCACUUAUAC
rnacentral:rRNA from 1 species